rnacentral:rRNA from 1 species
GCGGCAAGAGCUCAAAUUUGAAAGCUGGCUCCUUCGGGGUCCGCAUUGUAAUUUGCAGAGGAUGCUUCGGGAGCAGCCCCCAUCUAAGUGCCCUGGAACGGGCCGUCAUAGAGGGUGAAAAUCCCGUAUGGGAUGGGGUGUCUGCGCCCAUGUGAAGCUCCUUCGACGAGUCGAGUUGUUUGGGAAUGCAGCUCUAAAUGGGUGGUAAAUUUCAUCUAAAGCUAAAUAUUGGCCGGAGACCGAUAGCGCACAAGUAGAGUGAUCGAAAGAUGAAAAGCACUUUGAAAAGAGAGUUAAAAAGCACGUGAAAUUGUUGAAAGGGAAGCGCUUGCGAUCAGACUCGCCUUGGGGGUUCAGCCGGCAUUCGUGCCGGUGUACUUCCCCCAGGGCGGGCCAGCGUCGGUUUGGGUGGCCGGUCAAAGGCCCUUGGAAUGUAACGCCUCUCGGGGCGUCUUAUAGCCAAGGGUGCCAUGCGGCCUACCUGGACCGAGGAACGCGCUUCGGCUCGGACGCUGGCAUAAUGGUCGUAAGCGACCCGUCUUGAAACACGGACCAAGGAGUCUAACAUCUACGCGAGUGUUCGGGUGUCAAACCCGUGCGCGCAGUGAAAGCGAACGGAGGUGGGAACCCUUUGGGUGCACCAUCGACCGAUCCUGAUGUCUUCGGAUGGAUUUGAGUAAGAGCGUAGCUGUUGGGACCCGAAAGAUGGUGAACUAUGCCUGAAUAGGGCGAAGCCAGAGGAAACUCUGGUGGAGGCUCGCAGCGG